GAUGAACGCUGGCGGCGUGCCUAAUACAUGCAAGUCGAGCGAACAGACGAGGAGCUUGCUCCUCUGACGUUAGCGGCGGACGGGUGAGUAACACGUGGAUAACCUACCUAUAAGACUGGGAUAACUUCGGGAAACCGGAGCUAAUACCGGAUAAUAUAUUGAACCGCAUGGCUCAAUAGUGAAAGACGGUUUUGCUGUCACUUAUAGAUGGAUCCGCGCCGCAUUAGCUAGUUGGUAAGGUAACGGCUUACCAAGGCAACGAUGCGUAGCCGACCUGAGAGGGUGAUCGGCCACACUGGAACUGAGACACGGUCCAGGCUCCUACGGGAGGCAGCAGUAGGGAAUCUUCCGCAAUGGGCGAAAGCCUGACGGAGCAACGCCGCGUGAGUGAUGAAGGUCUUCGGAUCGUAAAACUCUGUUAUUAGGGAAGAACAAAUGUGUAAGUAACUAUGCACGUCUUGGCGGUACCUAAUCAGAAAGCCACGGCUAACUACGUG
rnacentral:rRNA from 1 species